GAUGAACGCUGGCGGCGUGCUUAACACAUGCAAGUCGAACGAAGUGGCGCAGGGGUGUGUAAUACGUGGGUAACCUGCCCUCCUUUUGGGGAUAAGCCGUGGAAACGGGGUCUAACACCGAAUAAAGGGGGAUGGGAUCGCGGCCUAUCAGCUUGUUGGUGGGUUGAUGGCCCAACAAGGCGGUGCCGGGUAGCGCGGCUGAGAGGGUGACCGGCCACGUGGGAACUGAGAAGCUGCCCAGGCUCCUACGCAGGGUGGCAUUGGGGGCUAUUGAACAAAGGGUGAAAGCGUAAGGCAGCGUGUGCGCAUAAGGGUUGCGGGUUUUCGGGUUGUACACCUCUUUCGGAAUCGAACGGGUAGGUGGAGAAGAAGCGCCGGCUAACUACGUGCCAGCAGCCGCGGUAAUAC
rnacentral:rRNA from 1 species